rnacentral:rRNA from 1 species
UGGGGAAUUUUGGACAAUGGGGGAAACCCUGAUCCAGCCAUCCCGCGUGUGCGAUGAAGGCCUUCGGGUUGUAAAGCACUUUUGGCAGGAAAGAAACGUCAUGGGUUAAUACCCCGUGAAACUGACGGUACCUGCAGAAUAAGCACCGGCUAACUACGUGCCAGCAGCCGCGGUAAAACGUAGGGUGCAAGCGUUAAUCGGAAUUACUGGGCGUAAAGCGUGCGCAGGCGGUUCGGAAAGAAAGAUGUGAAAUCCCAGGGCUCAACUUUGGAACUGCAUUUUUAACUACCGGGCUAGAGUGUGUAGAGGGAGGUGGAAUUCCGCGUGUAGCAGUGAAAUGCGUAGAUAUGCGGGGGAACACCGAUGGCGAAGGCAGCCUCCUGGGAUAACACUGACGCUCAUGCACGAAAGCGUGGGGAGCAAACAGG